UCCUUUCUCCUAUUGUUAUGUCUAAUGCCUGUUUUUGAAUGAGGUAAACCUUUGUGAUUUUAUAUCAAAUGAGAUGACUUCAAAUGAACACUUGUAUUUCUACUUUUGUAACUUGAUACUAAGCCUGCUUGAACUUCUCCUAUCGCCAUGGAUAUGUUAGACGCUUGCUGAGCUCUUUAUGCUCACCCCGUUGCUAUAUAAAUUUUUUAGGGUAGC
rnacentral:lncRNA from 1 species